rnacentral:rRNA from 1 species
UACGUAGGGUGCAAGCGUUGUCCGGAAUUACUGGGUGUAAAGGGAGCGCAGGCGGAUUGACAAGUUGGGAGUGAAAACUACGGGCUCAACCCGUAACCUGCUUUCAAAACUGUCAGUCUUGAGUGGUGUAGAGGUAGGCGGAAUUCCCGGUGUAGCGGUGGAAUGCGUAGAUAUCGGGAGGAACACCAGUGGCGAAGGCGGCCUACUGGGCACUAACUGACGCUGAGGCUCGAAAGCAUGGGUAGCAAACAGG